rnacentral:tRNA from 1 species
GCGGGCGUGGUGGAAUUGGUAGACACGUCAGACUUAGGAUCUGAUGCCGCAAGGUGUGGGGGUUCGAGUCCCUUCGCCCGCACGA